rnacentral:rRNA from 3 species
AAUCCAUAGGUUAAUGAGGCGAACCGGGGGAACUGAAACAUCUAAGUACCCCGAGGAAAAGAAAUCAACCGAGAUUCCCCCAGUAGCGGCGAGCGAACGGGGAGGAGCCCAGAGCCUGAAUCAGCAUGUGUGUUAGUGGAAGCGUCUGGAAAGGCGCGCGAUACAGGGUGACAGCCCCGUACACAAAAGCGCAUGUGCUGUGAGCUCGAUGAGUAGGGCGGGACACGUGGUAUCCUGUCUGAAUAUGGGGGGACCAUCCUCCAAGGCUAAAUACUCCUGACUGACCGAUAGUGAACCAGUACCGUGAGGGAAAGGCGAAAAGAACCCCGGCGAGGGGAGUGAAAAAGAACCUGAAACCGUGUACGUACAAGCAGUGGGAGCCCCACCACCAAAGCAUUUGCUGUACCGCGUUGACGGAGCGAAGCGACGUCAAACCGAUAAAACAGCAGUGUAAAGUGAGCCGCAGGGCGCUUUGCGCGACAGCGCAAAGGCAGGCGGUUUCGCGUAGCGAAAGCGAAUGCUUUGGGGUGGGGUGACUGCGUACCUUUUGUAUAAUGGGUCAGCGACUUAUAUUCUGUAGCAAGGUUAACCGAAUAGGGGAGCCGGAGGGAAACCGAGUCUUAAUUGGGCGUUAAGUUGCAGGGUAUAGACCCGAAACCCGGUGAUCUAGCCAUGGGCAGGUUGAAGGUUGGGUAACACUAACUGGAGGACCGAACCGACUAAUGUUGAAAAAUUAGCGGAUGACCUGUGGCUGGGGGUGAAAGGCCAAUCAAACCGGGAGAUAGCUGGUUCUCCCCGAAAGCUAUUUAGGUAGCGCCUCGUGAAUUCAUCUCCGGGGGUAGAGCACUGUUUCGGCUAGGGGGCCAUCCCGGCUUACCAACCCGAUGCAAACUGCGAAUACCGGAGAAUGUUAUCACGGGAGACACACGGCGGGUGCUAACGUCCGUCGUGAAGAGGGAAACAACCCAGACCGCCAGCUAAGGUCCCAAAGUCAUGGUUAAGUGGGAAACGAUGUGGGAAGGCCCAGACAGCCAGGAUGUUGGCUUAGAAGCAGCCAUCAUUUAAAGAAAGCGUAAUAGCUCACUGGUCGAGUCGGCCUGCGCGGAAGAUGUAACGGGGCUAAACCAUGCACCGAAGCUGCGGCAGCGACACUGUGUGUUGUUGGGUAGGGGAGCGUUCUGUAAGCCUGUGAAGGUGUGUCGUGAGGCAUGCUGGAGGUAUCAGAAGUGCGAAUGCUGACAUAAGUAACGAUAAAGCGGGUGAAAAGCCCGCUCGCCGGAAGACCAAGGGUUCCUGUCCAACGUUAAUCGGGGCAGGGUGAGUCGACCCCUAAGGCGAGGCCGAAAGGCGUAGUCGAUGGGAAACGGGUUAAUAUUCCCGUACUUGGUGUUACUGCGAAGGGGGGACGGAGAAGGCUAUGUUGGCCGGGCGACGGUUGUCCCGGUUUAAGCGUGUAGGUGUGUGUUCCAGGUAAAUCCGGUUCACUUUAACACUGAGGCGUGACGACGAGGCACUACGGUGCUGAAGCAACAAAUGCCCUGCUUCCAGGAAAAGCCUCUAAGCAUCAGGUAACAUCAAAUCGUACCCCAAACCGACACAGGUGGUCAGGUAGAGAAUACCAAGGCGCUUGAGAGAACUCGGGUGAAGGAACUAGGCAAAAUGGUGCCGUAACUUCGGGAGAAGGCACGCUGACACGUAGGUGAAGUGAUUUACUCAUGGAGCUGAAGUCAGUCGAAGAUACCAGCUGGCUGCAACUGUUUAUUAAAAACACAGCACUGUGCAAACACGAAAGUGGACGUAUACGGUGUGACGCCUGCCCGGUGCCGGAAGGUUAAUUGAUGGGGUCAGCGCAAGCGAAGCUCCUGAUCGAAGCCCCGGUAAACGGCGGCCGUAACUAUAACGGUCCUAAGGUAGCGAAAUUCCUUGUCGGGUAAGUUCCGACCUGCACGAAUGGCGUAAUGAUGGCCAGGCUGUCUCCACCCGAGACUCAGUGAAAUUGAACUCGCUGUGAAGAUGCAGUGUACCCGCGGCAAGACGGAAAGACCCCGUGAACCUUUACUAUAGCUUGACACUGAACAUUGAGCCUUGAUGUGUAGGAUAGGUGGGAGGCUUUGAAGUGUGGACGCCAGUCUGCAUGGAGCCGACCUUGAAAUACCACCCUUUAAUGUUUGAUGUUCUAACGUGGACCCGUUACCCGGGUUGCGGACAGUGUCUGGUGGGUAGUUUGACUGGGGCGGUCUCCUCCUAAAGAGUAACGGAGGAGCACGAAGGUUGGCUAAUCCUGGUCGGACAUCAGGAGGUUAGUGCAAUGGCAUAAGCCAGCUUGACUGCGAGCGUGACGGCGCGAGCAGGUGCGAAAGCAGGUCAUAGUGAUCCGGUGGUUCUGAAUGGAAGGGCCAUCGCUCAACGGAUAAAAGGUACUCCGGGGAUAACAGGCUGAUACCGCCCAAGAGUUCAUAUCGACGGCGGUGUUUGGCACCUCGAUGUCGGCUCAUCACAUCCUGGGGCUGAAGUAGGUCCCAAGGGUAUGGCUGUUCGCCAUUUAAAGUGGUACGCGAGCUGGGUUUAGAACGUCGUGAGACAGUUCGGUCCCUAUCUGCCGUGGGCGCUGGAGAACUGAGGGGGGCUGCUCCUAGUACGAGAGGACCGGAGUGGACGCAUCACUGGUGUUCGGGUUGUCAUGCCAAUGGCACUGCCCGGUAGCUAAAUGCGGAAGAGAUAAGUGCUGAAAGCAUCUAAGCACGAAACUUGCCCCGAG